rnacentral:rRNA from 1 species
UGGUGGGUUGCCUUGUCAGGUUGAUUCCGGUAACGAACGAGACCUCAGCCUGCUAAAUAGUCAACAUCGUCUUGGCGGUGUGCAGACUUCUUAGAGGGACUAUGGGCGUUUAGUCCAUGGAAGUAUGAGGCGAUAACA